rnacentral:lncRNA from 10 species
UAUAACCCCUGAGUCUGGGGGUAAUGGCACGGGGACCCACCAGCUUGUCUGCCGCCAUCUGGGUUUUUUGAGAUGAAGUCUCGUUCUUGUCCCCCAGGCUGGAGUGCAAUGGCAUGAUCUCAGCUCACUGCAACCUCUGCCUCCCGGGUUCAAGCAAUUCUCCUGUCUCAGCCUCCUGAGUAGCUGGAUUACAGAGUCUUUUCUAAGGCACCAACUACUUCCUUCAAGCAGCAGCCAGAGAUCUUUGCUUAAUGGCUGAGAAACACAGAGGAGAGACCCAGAGAGAAGGAGAAGGCCGCAUGAAGAUGGAGCAGAGACUGGAGUUAUUCAGCCAAGUCAAGGAAUGCCUGGAGCACCAGAAGCCGGAAGAGGCAAGGAAGGAUCCUCCCUUAGAGCAUUUGGAAGAGUGUGGCCCUGCCAACACCUUGACUUCAAACUUCUGGCCUCCAUAACUAUGAAAUAAAUUCUUGUUGUUUUAAGCCACCAAGUUUGUGGUAACUUCUUACAGCAACCCUAGGAAAUUAACACACAGAGUGUCAGUUACCUAAACAUUGUGAGCCUCAGUUACCUUAUCUGAAAAUGGGGCUAAAACUUAGACCUACCUUUUAGGGCUGCUUUAAGGAGUAAUAGAAAUUAUACAUGGGAAUUACAUGGCACCAAGUUGUUCCUUAAUAGAGGGAAACUGUUAUGAUGGCGGAAGAGCAGUAAUGAAAUACUGAAUUCAUCCAGCAGAUGGCAGAAGAUGGAUUUGCAAACAAGAGGACUUCAUAAGGUUUGCUGCCCAGCAAUGCAGCUCCAGGCCUAAAGUAGCCUUCCUAGCUCACAGACUGAUGAGGAUUAACCCUCGCCAACUCAAGUGUGCUCUCAGCUCUGUAGAAACUAAACUAAUUCUGUUUUCCUUUGACCAUUGUACACCACAGAGGCUGGCAAUGGAGAAUAUAAAGAGUGGUGCAACAGAAAAUACCUGGGUUCUAGGCUCAGCUCUGUCACCUCAUUAGGAUUCAGUUUGCCCAUCUGUAAAGUAGUGACAAGAUGAAAUACCAAGUGUAACGUAAUUAAAGGGCUGUUGUGAUACCAAAAUAACAUAAUGUGUAAAAGUGCUAAAAACAAGAUGCCAUAAAGCACAGAAGGGGCCCAGGAGAGAUUAAUUCAUGGAGAACUUACUCGUUUUUUUGAGACAGAGUCUCACUGUGUUGCUCAGGCUGCAGUGCAGUGGCGCGAUCUCAGCUAACUGCAAUGUCUGCCUCCUGGGUUCAAGUGAUUCUUGUGCCUCAGCCUCCUGAGUAGCUGAGACUACAGGUGCACGCCACCAAGCCUGGCUAACAUUUUUUGUAUUUUUAGUAGAGAUGGGGAUUUCACCAUGUUGGCCAGGCUGUUCUCAAACUCCUGUCCUCAAGAGAUCCGCCCACCUUGGCCUCCCAAAGUGCUGGGAUUACAGGCAUGAGCCACUGUGCCUGGCCUAAUUAAUGGAUAACUUCUGCAAGAAUCCAGGGUCACGGUUGAUUUGUUUAUUCAUUUAUUCACUCAGCAAACAUUUCUUUGUGCCAGGCAUUGUGCUAGGUCCAGGGAAUACUGCUUACGUUGGAGAAGUUCGCAUUCUAGUUUGGGUGGACAAACAUGUGAUAAAGAUGUGUACAGGGCAUAGUUUUCUCUCAGCAGCUAGGGUAACAUUCCAACUCCAUGUUUUGGUUUAAGAAACACAUUUGAUUUUAUUUAAAAUAUUAUAUAUUUUCUCUUUUAUUUCUUUUCCCUAUUUACAAUAAGGCUUACUUGCAAAAUUAAGAAAUACAUUUGAGUGGGUAGUUCCCUUGGUAAAACAUUUAUAUUUCCUUCUUAAUUUCUUUGUAAAAGUCUACUCUUAAACACUACUAUUUAGAGUUAAGUGAGAAAAGAAAAUUGCAGGACAGAAUGCACAGAAAGAUCUAUUUAUCUAUCUACAUAAAAACUGGAAGAAUACACUCCCAUACUGUUAACAGUGGCUACCUCUAGGGAAAGGGUGAAGUGAUAUUUGAAAAAAUGGGGCUUUUACCUUUUCUUUUCUUUCCUUUU